rnacentral:tRNA from 1 species
GGGGCUAUAGCUCAGCUGGCAGAGCGCCUGCAUGGCAUGCAGGAGGUCACCGGUUCGAACCCGGUUAGCUCCACCA